rnacentral:tRNA from 1 species
UACCCCGUGGUGUAAUGGCAGCACAGGUGAUUUUGGUUCAUCUAGUCCAGGUUCGAGUCCUGGCGGGGUAA